AACCCCUACGGGACGCAGCAGUGGGGAAUAUUGCGCAAUGGGCGAAAGCCUGACGCAGCGACGCCGCGUGAGGGAUGAAGGUCUUCGGAUCGUAAACCUCUGUCAGCAGGGAAGAACGGUCACUGUGCUAAUCAGCAGUGAAUUGACGGUACCUGCAAAGGAAGCACCGGCUAACUCCGUGCCAGCAGCCGCGGUAAUACGGAGGGUGCGAGCGGUAAUCGGAAUUACUGGGCGUAAAGCGCUCGUAGGCGGUGUGGCAAGUCAAGGGUGAAAUCCCCGCGCUCAACUUGGGAACUG
rnacentral:rRNA from 1 species